CGGUCGCCCGCGAGGUCCUUAAGCCACGGCCACUUGGCGGUCGCGUGCGUGAGCGCCUUCGCGCGCACGCCGGGCACGUCGGCGGAGACCAGC
rnacentral:tRNA from 1 species